rnacentral:misc_RNA from 2 species
AACGCACAUUGCGCCCCUUGGUAUUCCGGGGGGCAUGCCUGUUCGAGCGUCAUUAUAACCCUCAAGCCUAGCUUGGUGUUGGAGCCUGCCUCUGGGCAGCUCUUAAAAUCAGUGGCGGUGCCGUCUGGCUCUAAGCGUAGUAAUUCUUCUCGCUAUAGGGUCCCGGCGGUUGCUUGCCAACAACCCCAAAUUUUUCUAUGGUUGACCUCGGAUCAGGUAGGGAUACCCGCUGAACUUAA